UGUAUUGAUUAUAAAUAUUUCUUUGUGUAGGUCAAAUCUCCCUCCCACCUGGUGGGAACACCUCGAUCGUGCUCCCUGGAGACGAUGUGACAAUAGCCUGGACAAUUGAUGCCAGUCUAUCUGACGUACUGAUUCGGUCGUGGACAUUCCUUCCAAAGGGCGUGGACGACGCUUUCGCUAAAAUCGUUGUUGAUGGUGAGGUGAAGAAAGACACCCAAUUCUCACCAGGGCCAUUUACAAUAACAAAGCCUUCAACCUUGACUUUAAAGAACGUUAAUAUCCAGUACAAUGGAGUGUACAGAUUUAGUAUUUUGGUAAAGAAUACAUUAACUAAAUCUGAUGUCCAUGUGUUUGUUGCAGGUAAGUGUCUGUUGUAUAAUAUCCUAGACCUUGUUAUCCUAUUUUUCACCAAAAGAUUUCGCACAAAUUUCAGGCAUUAACAAAUAGCUUUAUUCUGAUUGGUUCAGACAACU